UCAAAGAUUAAGCCAUGCAUGUCUAAGUAUAAACAAAUUCAUACUGUGAAACUGCGAAUGGCUCAUUAAAUCAGUUAUCGUUUAUUUGAUAAUACCUUACUACUUGGAUAACCGUGGUAAUUCUAGAGCUAAUACAUGCUGAAAAUCCCGACUUCGGAAGGGAUGUGUUUAUUAGAUAAAAAACCAAUGCCCUUCGGGGCUUUUUGGUGAUUCAUGAUAACUUUACGGAUCGCAUAGCCUUGCGCUGGCGACGGUUCAUUCAAAUUUCUGCCCUAUCAACUUUCGAUGGUAAGGUAUUGGCUUACCAUGGUUUCAACGGGUAACGGGGAAUUAGGGUUCGAUUCCGGAGAGGGAGCCUGAGAAACGGCUACCACAUCCAAGGAAGGCAGCAGGCGCGCAAAUUACCCAAUCCCGACACGGGGAGGUAGUGACAAUAAAUACUGAUACAGGGCUCUUUUGGGUCUUGUAAUUGGAAUGAGUACAAUUUAAAUCCCUUAACGAGGAUCAAUUGGAGGGCAAGUCUGGUGCCAGCAGGCGCGUAAAUU
rnacentral:rRNA from 16 species